rnacentral:rRNA from 1 species
CCUGGUUGAUCCUGCCAGUAAUUGUAUGCUUGUUUUGAAGGUUAAGCCAUGCAAGGGUAAAUCGACCAGCCAACUCCCAAGGGAGAGACACAGGAAGCCACAGACAAGUUCAGUACAAUGGACACAAUUGUGUUGAGUGUGGAGGUCAAGAUUGAUAGCUAUGGAAAUGCUAGAGAUAAUACAUUUGUGCAGAAUAGGCUGAACCCUGGCUGGGUCUUGGCUUGUCCUGGGGGAGUAACUAAGUAUCGUCAGUUUCCACAGCAAGGGACUGAUUACUGAUGCCCCAUAGGGCAAGUGACAAACCCAGCGACCACCCAACCUAGUAUAAGAUCAGUGGUUAGUAGCCCCAUGUGGUGGUGAUGGGUGAUGGGGGAUCAGGGAUCAGUUCUGGAGAGGGAACCUGAGAGACAGCUACCACCCCUAUGAGAGGCAUCAGGUGCACCACUUAUCCAAUCCUGGCAUGGGAAGGUAGUGAGGAGAAAUACCAGUGGGGGCGUUGGUAUGAGGCCCUGCUCCUGGAAUGACCACUCCCCAAGCCCAGUAACAAGGAGCCAUCAGAGGGCAAAUCUGGUACCAGCAGCCAUGGUAAUUCCAGCUCCAAUAGUAUACAUUGAAGCUGCUGCAGUUAAAGCACUCAGAGUAGUACAUGAACAGGGAUGUGGUCAGCGUCCCUCGGGGGUCCAUGCUGACCUGGUUCUGUGCAGGUUUGCCGGAUUGACUUGGGCGCUGGUUAGGGAUGUGGCAGGAGGUUACCUUGAAAAAAAUGAGAGUGCUUCUAGUGGGCCAGAGGCUGCUGGGAUAGAGGAAUCAUGGAAUAAUGUCAGGGGAAUGGAAUGGCCAUGAGAGUUGCCUGCCUGAGGGUGAUGGAGCCAUCAGUCCAAAGCCAUGUCGUAGACAACUGAAAGGGGUGGCUGGGGCAUUGGUGCUGCAGGGUGAGAGGACCAACCACAGUGAAAGUAUUUGCCACGUAUGUCUUUCUUAAUCCAAAAUGAAAGUCAGAGGAUCAAAGGCGAUUAGAUACCACUCUAGUUCCGACCAUAAACAUUGCAAACUGGUAAUCCAUGGCAUUUGUAGUCUGAACGCCAUGGGCUCUCCCGGGAAACCAAAGUCUUUGGACUAUGGUGUGUGUGUGUGUGUCGGGGGUACAGAUGCAAAAUUGAAACUUAAAUGAAUUGACAGAAAGACACCACCAGGAGUGGGACCUGCAGCUCAAUUUAACGCAAUAUGGGAUCCUCACAAGUUCCAGCUGUUGGAAGGAUUGACAGACUAAGAGACCUUCCUCAAAUCAGUGGGUGUUGGUGGUGCUUCACCAUUCUUAGUACGUGCAGUGGUUUAUCUGGUCAGUUUGGGUAAUGAGUGAGGUUGCACCCCUGGGUUGUGGAGUGAGCCAGAUCAUGUCUAUAUGCCAACACUUGACUGGCCAUGUGUAGGGCCAGCCAUGCCCAAUGUAGGAAUGCAUCUCUGUAGCACACUUGUUGGGGUGGUAAGGAUCCCUGUCUGGGCCAGGAGGAUGCUGUUGCAGCAGGCCUGUUGUCCAUGAAAUGGUCCCAGGGGACUGGUGGUGGUGGAAGCUACAAGAGGUGUGGCACAAUAGCAGGUCCAUGAUGCCCUUGGAAGUCCUGGGCUGCAUGUGUUCAACAAUGAUAAUGUCAGUGGGCCUCCCCUCUUAGAGGAGUGGGCAAUCUCUGAAAUGCAGUCGUGGUGGGGACUGGGUCUUGCAGUGUUUCCUGUGAACUGGGAUUCCUUUGUAGGGGCUGGUAACCAGCUGUCCCUGAAUGAGUCUCUGCCCUUUGUACACACCACCCAUCACUACUGGGUAGGUGAAGGCCUCAAACCAGGGACAAGAUGUCCCUCUCCUAGAGGGAGAGGCAAGACAGACCUCGGAAAGACUUCCGAACCUGUUCAGCCAGAGGAAGUAAAAGUCGUAACAAGGUUACCGUAGGUGAACCUGCGGAAGGAUCAUUA